GCUGGGUGUGGUGGCGGGCACCUGUAAUCCCAGCUACUCAGGAGGCUGAGACAGAAGAAUCGCUUGAACCCAGGAGGCAGAGGUUGCAGUGAGCCCGAGACUGCACCAUUGCACUCCAGCCUGGGCGACAGAGUGAGACUCUGUCUCAC
ensembl:misc_RNA Metazoa_SRP Metazoan signal recognition particle RNA